rnacentral:rRNA from 1 species
UACGGAGGGGGCUAGCGUUGUUCGGAAUUACUGGGCGUAAAGCGCGCGUAGGCGGCUUUGUAAGUCAGAGGUGAAAUCCCGGGGCUCAACUCCGGAACUGCCUUUGAAACUGCAUCGCUUGAAUGUCGGAGAGGUGAGUGGAAUUCCGAGUGUAGAGGUGAAAUUCGUAGAUAUUCGGAAGAACACCAGUGGCGAAGGCGGUUCUCUGGGACGGUACUGACGCUGAGACGCGAAAGCGUGGGGAGCGAACAGG